ensembl:lincRNA
ACCUGGGGAAAGCCAGUCCUUUUUAAAUUUUAUUUUAAGACAGGGUCUUGUUAAGUCGCCCAGGCUGGGCUGGAACUUGCAAUUCUCCUGCCUCAGCUUCCCAAAUACAGCAGCUGGGCUGACAAACAUGUACUAUCAUGCCUAGCUCCAAGUACUUCUUUAAACUGGAAAAAAACAAACAAAAACUGAACCUACGAAAAUUUCAGGAUAAAUAUUUUACCAAGUGGCAGAAAUUAAAACACUUCUUUUCAAAAAUCACGCCAACCCCGCAGCUCCACAGCACAGCGCCCGGCUCUCACCCGUUCAGGGUGGCAGAGGCCAUGGAACUGGACAGGCAGGCGCGGGUGUCCUCCAGGAUCCCAGCAAGGACUCCCCGUCACAGAGUGCCUGGCACGUCUGCAAUCACUGCCGCUGCUCCUGAGGGGUCUCGCUCAUCCCCAGACACCAGCCCUUCCCUCCUGGCACAGAGAGGCCCCGAAGAUCCCUUGCUGAGCUCGGAGGACAUGAGAGGACCUGAAGACAGAGAGGCGCUGACCCUUCCUGGCUUCCGGUAACGUCCAGCCAGCAGAUCUAAAGGGCUUCCUUCAACCCGUUUAUGAGAGCUUUUCAACAACAACUAAAAACAAGCAGGGACAACUCACAGAAAUGGAAACCUAAAUCACGAACAGCGGAGAGCACUGGGCCUCCACUUCGCGCCCGCUUGAGGAAGGAAGCACUUCCGGUAGUGUGAACGGAAAACUUCGCUCUUCCAGAGGAGACUGGUGGGAACUCGUGCACACCUCUGUAUCCCGAAGUCCUCUCAGGCCGGCACACGUCUCUGCCCUACAUGUUCCACCUAGGGUGGAGCCCCUGGGCAAUCGCCCCCAGCACGGUCAGGGUCCCUCCGACCUUCGGGGUCCUGCAGGUAGCUCUCCCGUGGUCUGUGCGGCACGCUGUGGGUUUGAUUUGCAUUUAUUUUAGUGCAAGAAAUGGCAAGCAAGCUUUCUACGGUUAAGGCUUCAGUUUUUGCAUUUAUUUUCACUAUUGGGAAUUAGGUAUUCAGAUUAUUAUUUUUGGUCUCUUUAUUAUCUUACAGGAGCCCUUAGGGUACUAAAUAAACAUGUCAGUAGCACGUCACUCAUCAUAUGCUUGUAAUUUCUUUGUCCUUUGCAGUUUAUCUGAGGUGUGAUCAAAAAUACAUGGUGACUUUAAACUUUAAAAAAAUGCAUCACAGUAGAAGACACACUGCCAUGAGUCCCCCUCGGUCCCUCCUCCUCUGUGCACACUCUUACCCCGCCAUCCUCGUGGCUUCCUGCAGCAGCUCUGGAGCCCUCUCUCCUGUGUCUGUGGUCGCGCUAUCCUGGCUGCCUCCAUGUCCUGAGUGAAUUUAAGACAUCUCUUUUUCAUGGUCAUUUUGACUCUGGGGAGGAGCCAGCAGUCACACGGUGCCAGAUCUGGUGAAUAAGGUGGACGAGGACACCCUGUGAUGCUUUUAUUUGACAGAAAUUGUUGCAGAUUUGCUCAACAGUGAUGAUCAUAAAAUACAGUGAAUGUUUACACUUUAAGAAAUGUUGCUGUUCACUCCCCUCAGAAUACCUGCCUCAUUUCACAGCUUUCCAGUUGUUCUUGGCAAUGUGUCUUUUACUGUGGUACAUUUUAAAGAACAAUUUAAAUACUCACCACAUCUUUCAAUCACUCCCUUGGUCUUUACUUCUGAUUUCACUGCUUUCCCCUUGCGAAUUCUGUUUGAGAAAGUAAAAUUCAUCAGUAUUUCUUCCCCAGUGUUAUGGUUUAAUGUUUUAAUUUUUAAUUCUUUGAUUCACCAAGCAGUUUAGUGAAAGACACAGGUAAAACUGUAAUGUGUCUGCCUAUGUUUUCUGCGAUGCCAGCCCCACAGUGUUCUGGGCCUCCGCACAACAAAGCACCAGUUUAUCGCACACCACAC